AGGGGCAACUCCCCGAGUAGAGCGGCGCACGGGUGAGUAACGCGUGGGUAACCUACCUCCGGGCGGGGGAUAACCACUCGAAAGGGUGGCUAAUACCGCAUGAGACCACGGGGUCCUCGGAUCCUGGGGCCAAAGGUGGCACCGGCUUGCCGGUGCUGUCACCGGGAGAUGGGCCCGCGUACGAUUAGCUUGUUGGUAGGGUAACGGCCUACCAAGGCUACGAUCGUUAGCUGGUCUGARAGGAUGACCAGCCACACUGGAACUGAAACACGGUCCAGACUCCUACGGGAGGCAGCAGUGAGGAAUAUUGCGCAAUGGGGGAAACCCUGACGCAGCAACGCCGCGUGGGUGAAGAAGGCCUUCGGGUCGUAAAGCCCUUUCGGACGGGACGAAAGCCUCGCGGGGAUAAACCGCGAGGUCUGACGGUACCGUAGGAAGAAGCACCGGCUAACUCCGUGCCAGCAGCCGCGGUAAU
rnacentral:rRNA from 1 species